rnacentral:rRNA from 1 species
CGAACGAAGCACUUUAUUGGAUUUUCUUCGGAGAUGAAGAUGUUGUGACUGAGUGGCGGACGGGUGAGUAACGCGUGGGCAACCUGCCCUGUACCGGGGGAUAACAGCCGGAAACGGCUGCUAAUACCGCAUAAGCGCACGAGAGCGCAUGCUUUUGUGUGAAAAACUCCGGUGGUACGGGAUGGGCCCGCGUCUGAUUAGCUUGUUGGCGGGGUAGAAGCCCACCAAGGCGACGAUCAGUAGCCGACCUGAGAGGGUGACCGGCCACAUUGGGACUGAGACACGGCCCAAACUCCUACGGGAGGCAGCAGUGGGGAAUAUUGCACAAUGGGGGGAACCCUGAUGCAGCGACGCCGCGUGAGUGAGGAAGUAUUUCGGUAUGUAAAGCUCUAUCAGCAGGGAAGAAAAAAUGACGGUACCUGACUAAGAAGCACCGGCUAAAUACGUGCCAGCAGCCGCGGUAAUACGUAUGGUGCAAGCGUUAUCCGGAUUUACUGGGUGUAAAGGGAGCGCAGGCGGUACGGCAAGUCUGAUGUGAAAGCCCGGGGCUCAACCCCGGUACUGCAUUGGAAACUACCGGACUGGAGUGUCGGAGGGGUAAGUGGAAUUCCUAGUGUAGCGGUGA